rnacentral:lncRNA from 1 species
UCGGAUGAAUCAGAUCCCAAUAAGUGAAGUCUCGGUUGGCCCAGUAACUUCGUGGAAGCAAGUGAAAGGCUUGAAUUAUUUUUCUUUCUAAUCCCUUGAUUAAGGUCGAAAGUCAAAUAUUUUUGACAUUUAACAAAGGGUAAUUAUUAAAUUCAAUUAUAUUGUUAAUGUUGAUUACCGCCGCAUCAUGCCGCAUUAUAAUAUUAGUGCAAAUCCUGACAGAAACCACGGACACACACAGCUGACAGGAAAAAUAUCUGAAUAAGUAAUUGUUUUGUUAAACUUAAAACAAAUAAUAAUUUUUGCGAAUAAGUGUGAUGGGGAUUCAUGCCAUUCUAUGCUAUAUUAAUUAUUAUAGAUUUCUCGAUCAUCACUACACUGAAACAAUGUGCCUGCUGCGUUAUCAUUCCAACACUAGGUGAAAAAUAUCAUUAUUCUUCUCCUAAUGUGCGAACCUUGGGCGGCUCUGUGUUAAGAAAACAACAUCACAAUACCUAAUUCAUAGGCAAAUCACAUGUAAACAAAACAACCUAGGAAUAUAACAUAUCAUAAUCCUUUUAAUAUAAUAAUUUUGUCCACGCAUAACCUGUCCUCAUCUAAUGCUACACACACAAGGUUGAUUAACUUAU